rnacentral:tRNA from 1 species
CAAGAUGUAGUUUAAUAAAAAUAUUAAUUUUGGAGAUUAAAGUUAGAAAUUUGUUCUUUUCUUGA